GUUAUUGUUGCAAACUCCAUUAGAAAUUUUAAUUGAGAUUAGUUUUGGAAUAAGGGAAAGGGGGAUGUGAUUAAAAAAAUUGGGUUCAAUUUUUCUCAUUUGAAAUAUCAUAAAUAAAAAAGAAAAUUUCUUCAAACAUUUUUUUGAGAGGAUUAAUAUUCAACAGCAUAGUGAAUUGCUCUAAGAGAAAACAAAAAUUUAAAGUUCAUUAGAACACAUUCAUUCUGUGUCAGAAACCUAUGCUGUGUCAACUAUUUAACCACAAUCCAAAUUUAGAGCUGAAUCCAGCUUGAAUGUUGUCUCCAUACUUGCCCCAACCGUUCAGGGUUCAACCUCUGCGGUCGUAUAAAGCUACGCCCUGCGGAGCAUCUGGUU
rnacentral:lncRNA from 1 species